GACGAACGCUGGCGGCGUGCCUAACACAUGCAAGUCGAGCGGAGGUACAAUGAGAGCAAUCGAGAUGUACUUUAGCGGCGGACGGGUGAGUAACGCGUGAGCAACCUGCCUAUCACAGGGGGAUAAGGCGGCGAAAGCCGCUCUAAUACCGCAUGAGACCCUCAAAGCGAUGCAAUGGGGGUGAAAGGAGCGAUCCGGUGAGAGAUGGGCUCGCGUCCGAUUAGGUAGUUGGUAGGGUAAGGGCCUACCAAGCCAAUGAUCGGUAGCCGGCCUGAGAGGGUGAACGGCCACAUUGGAACUGAGAGACGGUCCAAACUCCUACGGGAGGCAGCAGUGGGGAAUAUUGGGCAAUGGGGGAAACCCUGACCCAGCGACGCCGCGUGAGGGAAGAAGGUUUUCGGAUUGUAAACCUCUGUUCUUGGUGAAGAGGGGAAGACGGUAGCCAAGGAGGAAGCCCCGGCUAACUACGUGCCAGCAGCCGCGGUAAUCUAGUCUAG
rnacentral:rRNA from 1 species